UUGCACCGCGCGGGGUAACAGCCGUUAGAGAAAGCGCUCGUGCGUCGCGCCAAUUUCGCUUGUACUGUAAAAAGUCGUUACUGUCAGCAUUUCAUCAGCAAGGAAGGAAGAAAUCGAACGGAGGAAAAUAACCGACGAAACUGUGACUUCGGGAACAUUCUGGAACCCAGCGCCGUUUAUUUGGCCGUGAAACAGAAGUUACAAUUCGAUGCAUUGCGGUUCUUCGUGGUAUCCGUGUCCUUCUUGGGGACAACCCCUCAGAAUUUUUAAAAGUUUGCUUUGACUCAGAAAAAAACAACAAACUUUGAGCAGAUUCCUGUUGGCAUUCUGUAAGUCGACAACGAGGACUCUCUCCACUGCUUCGUGGAUCCCUGUACGUCCAGUCUCCACUGCUAUCAUCAUAGAGGGAGGUAUUGUUAUGAAUAAUGUCAGGGACCUGCCUCUUGCUGUUUGUCUCUUGUUUGAACUAUCAUACACACUCCAUCUUGAUUAAAUCAAAGUGCAUGAAGAACACAUUCAACUUCAUCCAGCAAGUCAUGCUUGAUCUGGGAUCGAAGUCAUUAAAACCAAAACUUCAGACUUUAAAGAACCAGUUAUUUGCUUAAAUCAACACAUUUAGGUCAAAAUUAUCUGACCUGCAGUUCAUAGCCACUACUGGGAAGUCAUGAUUCACAACAUGUCAUAGCAAGAAACAUUUUUUUGUUUAAUUCCACUUUUUAAAUAGGUUUAGUUUGUUCAGCAAUAAUAUUUGUUUAAUAGCCUUAAAACAUUUAAAUUAUAAUUUACAUCAUUUAUUUUCUUUGUUUGACAUAUGUUAAUGGAUUAUAGUGUUCUUGUAUUAAUGUUAUUGUGUUUCUGUCAGCAUGGUCUGCUUAAAAGCACUUUAAAUAAGGAUUGUAAAAUGUUAUACGAAUGUAGAGAUGUUUAGACAGCUGAGGUUUUCCAUUCAACCGUUCUGUUAACUUUAUUUCUGAGAUGUCAGUUUAGUGCAUUUUGAUGCAGUACUUUUCAUGUAGCACACAUAUUUAGCACCUAGUGGCAUCAUCCAAUAAAUUAUAGUAAUGUGUAUUGAUUAAAAUUCUCUCAAUUGCUUCAGCCAUUUCUGCUGUAAUCAACAUUUUGAAAAAUAAAUGUUUUUAAACUGAUCUAAAUGGAGACCUGUGAUUUUUACUAGUUGCAAUGUAUUUGAAACUGUAAAAAACAUUAAUAGAAAAAUUGCUGUUAUUUUAUUGAUAAAUUAUAAUAAUUAUUGUUAUACCCUAUAGUUAAACUUUACUGGUACCAUUUCUCAAAUCACAGAUUCAGUUAAGUUAAUAAAACUUAAAUGCUUUAAGUAAAUGUGACUGGAUACAGGUAGGGAAUACUUUUGAUAUAUUAGUAAAUAUGACUUAAAUCACACUUGAUAUAAUAAAGUUAAUAUUACUUAAUUGAAUUAACGCAAUGAAAGCACAAUUUAAAUAAGUAAACCUAACAAAUUACUUUUUCCAGUGUGUUUAUAAUUUGCUUAUAAUUUACUACUAAAUGUACUACUGUAACAUGGAUUAAUUUUAGUUUAAUGUCUAUUUGUUUUAAAUAAAAGUGUAUUAAAUAAAAUGCAAUGUGAUGACAGAAU